GGUCAUGAAGUGCGCGCUGCGGUCGGGGUUGAGUUAAUCAUUGACUGCGGCUGCCCCUGGGGCUGCGUGCCCUCCGCGAGCCUUUGUGCGGCAGACGUCCUGCCGCCCUGGGGACAGCAGAGGCCGAGCCCCCAGGCCGGGUACACAGCAUCGCUGCCUCCCUCACCCAGCUGAUUCCCUCCCUUUCCGCCGCUCGCUCCAGCCCGUCCGCAGGAGGACGAGACCCGCAGAGGGAAUCAGGCCUGGCGGGGUUACUCCCGACCUCCUGUGGGAGGUUCAGGGGGGCCAAGGAGGUGUGCGGCUCCGGUUAAAGUGUGACUUGACAACAGGGGCAAGUGAGGCAUCAAGUUCACGGGUGAGAUCAGUGUCAGCGGGGACAAGACCACGGGUGUGUGUGUCACUUGCUAUUGAACCAUGGAAAAAAUUGGCAAAUUGAAUGGAUGUUUGUCCAAAGUCGGACUCAGCACCUUUAUCCAGAAACUCUAAGAAAAAAAAAAAAGAUGAAGUUUGUCUCGGGGAUUUCAUGAAGACCACAAUGGCAGCAUACUCUGCUGGGUCUAUGGUUCUGAUCUAGUCAACACUGUGUCUUUAGAAGGCAGUUCGGAGCUAGUCUUGUGGCCUUAAAACGAGCUAGUUGCUCGUUUUCUCGAGGGGGGCUUCCCAAGUGGUGGUAGUAGUAAAGAACCUACCUGCCAAUGCAGGGGACAAAAGACAAGCCCCUGAGUCCAGAAGAUGCCCUGGAGGAGGCAUGGCAACCCACUCCAGCACUCUUGUCUGGAGAAUCCCAUGGACAGAGGAGCCUGGGGGGCUACAGUCCAUGGGGUCACAAGAGAGUCAGGCAAGACUGAAGUGACUUGACACGCACAGACUUCUUUUUGGACUUUCCUUUUUAAUAGGAGGCUACCCUCAUUUUCUUGCCCUGUGGACACCCCAACACAGAUACUCAUAAAACCAAGAGAAGAGAGUUUGCUGGGAGGACUGAUGUGACAAUCCUUUAUAACAAAAUCAGGGGGUGACACCCCAGCAGCCUUAACACAGUCUGUCAGAAGCCAGUCUUGCCCUUCCUUCCAGGGGAUUAUUUAAAGAUGGGGCUCACAGGAGGUGGGAAACACAGAGGCCACCUCCGUGUCUGGGCUCUACGGCCAAACCUCCUGGGGUCAAAUCCCGGCCCCACUGCAUAUGAGUUCUGAGAACCAUAAGCAGUUAUGACUCUCCAAGCCUGUUUCCUCAUCUGUGAAAUGGAGCAUCUACUCGCCCUUUCCUCCAGGGUUAUUAAAUUCUAGUAGUUCCUCACUCCCACACACUCUGGGGCCAUUUUCAUGCUGGUGGCCUGACAUCAUUCCCUAUCACCCCCCUUUACAACAUAAACCCCUGGUUAGGGGGACUAAAAUCCCGCCUGCCUAGUGUUGCAGCCAAAAGAUUUUUUUUUAAUAAAAUGUAAAUCAACUUACUUAAAAGCAAAUUUAAUAGUACUCCUAGAAAUUUUAAAGUAGUUAGCAUUAUUAUGGAAGAUAAUUGUAAGCACACAUUAGCAGGAAUAAAGAUUACUUGUGUGCAAACCUCCAAAA